UUAAGUAGAAAAGAGCGCACGGAGGAUGCCUUGGCACUAGGAGCCGAAGAAGGACGUGACAAACGACGAAACGCUACGGGGAGCUGUAAGUAAGCAAAGAUCCGUAGAUAUCCGAAUGGGGGAACCCACCGCUUUUAAAAGGGCGGUACGCGAAAGCGAGGUAACGCAGGGAACUGAAACAUCUAAGUACCUGUAGGAAGAGAAAGAAAAAUCGAUUUCCUAAGUAGCGGCGAGCGAAAGGGAAAGAGCCCAAACCAAUAUGCUUGCAUAUUGGGGUUGUAGGACUCUCAAUAAAACGUAUGACAAAGUAUAGUAGAACGAGCUGGAAAGUUAGACCGUAGAAGGUAAAAGUCCUGUAUACGAAAUGCUGAGUUGGCGUGAGAGAGCACCUGAGUACGGCGGAACACGAGGAAUUCCGUCGGAAUCUACCAGGACCAUCUGGUAAGGCUAAAUACUACCUAGUGACCGAUAGUGAACCAGUACCGUGAGGGAAAGGUGAAAAGAACCCCGGGAGGGGAGUGAAAGAGAACCUGAAACCGUGUGCUUACAAGUAGUCAGAGCCCUUUAGGGGGUGAUGGCGUGCCUUUUGUAGAAUGAACCGGCGAGUUACUUUAUCAUGCGAGGUUAAGUGGAAGACAUGGAGCCGAAGCGAAAGCGAGUCUUAAUAGGGCGAAAUAGUAUGAUGGAGUAGACCCGAAACCAAGUGAUCUACCCAUGGCCAGGUUGAAGUUUAGGUAACACUGAAUGGAGGACCGAACCAGGACACGUUGAAAAGUGUUUGGAUGAGCUGUGGGUAGCGGAGAAAUUCCAAUCGAACUUGGAAAUAGCUGGUUCUCUCCGAAAUAGCUUUAGGGCUAGCCUCGUUGUGAGUUUACUGGAGGUAGAGCACUGUUUGGACUAGGGGCCCAUCCCGGGUUACCGAAUUCAGACAAACUCCGAAUGCCAGAUAAAUAUCAACGGGAGUCAGACUGCGGGUGAUAAGGUUCGUAGUCGAAAGGGAAACAGCCCAGACCGCCAGCUAAGGUCCCAAAUUGUAUGUUAAGUGGAAAAGGAUGUGAUGAUGCACAGACAACCAGGAUGUUGGCUUAGAAGCAGCCACCAUUUAAAGAGUGCGUAAUAGCUCACUGGUCGAGUGACAUCGCGCCGAAAAUGUACCGGGGCUAAACAUACAACCGAAGCUGCGGAUAUAACUAAUGUUAUAUGGUAGGAGAGCGUUCUAACAUCAUAGAAGCCGAACUGGAAGGUGAGGUGGAGAGGUUAGAAGUGAGAAUGCCGGUGUGAGUAGCGAAAGAUAGGUGAGAAUCCUAUCCACCGAAAGACUAAGGUUUCCAGAGGAAGGCUCGUCCGCUCUGGGUAAGUCGGGACCUAAGGUGAAGCCGAUAGGUGAAGCCGAUGGACAACAGGUAGAAAUUCCUGUACCACCGAAUAUCGAUUGAGAGAAGUGGGGACAGAGGAGGCUAAUUGAUCGCCCUGAUGGAAUAGGGCGUCUAAGCACAAAGACUGACAAGUAGGCAAAUCCGCUUGUUUAAAGGUUGAAGUGUGAUGGGGAGCGAAAUAUAGUAGCGAAGUCAAUGAAGCCAAACUCUCAAGAAAAGCCGCUAUCGAGAUAAGAGGUGCCCGUACCGCAAACCGACACAGGUAGUUGGGAAGAGAAUUCUAAGGUGAGCGAGAGAACCAUCGUUAAGGAACUCGGCAAAAUGACCCCGUAACUUCGGGAGAAGGGGUGCCUACGAGAGUAGGCCGCAGUGAAUAGGCCCAAGCGACUGUUUAUCAAAAACACAGGUCUCUGCAAAACCGAAAGGUGAAGUAUAGGGGCUGACGCCUGCCCGGUGCUGGAAGGUUAAGAGGAGUGCUUAGCGCAAGCGAAGGUAUGAAUUGAAGCCCCAGUAAACGGCGGCCGUAACUAUAACGGUCCUAAGGUAGCGAAAUUCCUUGUCGGGUAAGUUCCGACCCGCACGAAAGGCGUAACGAUUUGGGCACUGUCUCAACGAUGGACUCGGUGAAAUCAUAGUACCUGUGAAGAUGCAGGUUACCCGCGACAGGACGGAAAGACCCCAUGGAGCUUUACUGUAGCUUGAUAUUGAAUUUUGAUGCAGUAUGUACAGGAUAGGUAGGAGCCUAGGAAUCAUGCACGCCAGUGUAUGAGGAGGCGUUGUUGGGAUACUACCCUUGCUGUAUUGAAAUUCUAACCCUCGGCAUAGAAAACCGGGAGACAGUGUCAGGUGGGCAGUUUGACUGGGGCGGUCGCCUCCUAAAGAGUAACGGAGGCGUUCAAAGGUUCCCUCAGAAUGGUUGGAAAUCAUUUGCA
rnacentral:rRNA from 1 species